UUCCGGUUGAUCCUGCCGGAGGCCAUUGCUAUCGGAGUCCGAUUUAGCCAUGCUAGUCGCACGGGUUCAGACCCGUGGCGAAAAGCUCAGUGACACGUGGCCAAACUACCCUGUGGAUCGGGACAACCUCGGGAAACUGAGGCUAAUCCCGAAUAGGGCUCACAGCCUGGAGUGGCGUGAGUCCGAAACGCUCCAGCGCCACAGGAUGUGGCUGCGGCCGAUUAGGUUGACGGUGGGGUAACGGCCCACCGUGCCCGUAAUCGGUACGGGGCAUGAGAGUGCGAGCCCGGAGGCGGUAUCUGAGACAAGAUACCGGGCCCUACGGGGCGCAGCAGGCGCGAAACCUUUACACUGCACGACAGUGCGAUAAGGGGACUCCGAGUGCGAGGGCAUACAGUCCUCGCUUUUCUGCACCGUAAGGUGGUGCAGGAACAAGUGCUGGGCAAGACCGGUGCCAGCCGCCGCGGUAAUACCGGCAGCACGAGUGAUGGCCGAUAUUA
rnacentral:rRNA from 1 species